AAUAUAUGUAAAAUAUAUUAAUACGGGACGAUAUAUUACAGGAGAAAUACUCAAUAUA
rnacentral:sRNA from 1 species